CCUCCAGUGGCUUUUUUGUUUUUGGUUUCGUUAUGGUUUUCACCAGCUCCGGCGACUCACCGAUGGUGUGUCUGGACUGCGGCAGUGGCUUCAUCGAGGAGAUCGGCAACCCAACCCACUCCACCCGCGUGGAUUCGUGCCGCAGGGGGAGUUCCGUUGCUGCGAUGUACAUGAUCGGAGCCAACAACCGUUCCGGUUUCAAUCAUGAUCUCUGAUGAAAGCUUAGAGCUGAUUGCCAAGUCUUUCAAGAAUUUCAAGCUCCUUGUGCUUUUGUCUUGUGAGGGAUUCAGUACCGAUGGCCUUGCCUCCAUUGUGGCUAAUUGCAGGUUCAUCUCUUUGCUGCUAUAGUUAUCUAUUGCACUGUGUUUGCUGAUGUUCAUCACUCUUUCUCUCUCUCUCUGAAUGUGAUUGCGGCUGAUUUGAUUUGAUUUGAUUGGAGCUGGUUUGUGCUGAUUUAGUUGCUAGGGUUGUGGGAUUUAACUAUUGAUGUUUUACAUUUGUAGAAUUCAAAAGGUACUUAGACAUGCUUGAUUUGUAGAGAAAGUUAUUGCUCACCAUUAUUGGAACACCAUCAUAUUUCAACAGUACCUGGAAAGAAGAGAUUCAAUUACAAACCACUUUGUUAUAUAACAAUUCUGUGUUUCUUUUCUUUCUAUACAGUUAUGUUGUUUGUUGUAAAAUUGACACCGGAAAGUGCAUUUCUCAUUUGUUUUACUAAAGGUCAAGAUGAUAAUGUUGAAAGUAGUUGCUCGAACUAUUGGGCUUCAUCGCUUGUUCUGUUGAAUUUCUAUCCUUAUUUUAUCAAUUGCAUUACAGUAUGUUAUCUAACCUAUUCAAUGAAUGUCUUUUUCUCUUGAUAAACCAAAUGCUGUCACUGCAUGAAUUACUCGCUGUAGUAGUCCAGGCCUGUCAUGAAUCAUGAUAUGGUCAGUUAGCUACUCCUAUAUUUGAUCGGACCUCUGUAGAAGUUCAUUUUUUUCCUGUCCCUCCAUUAACUUAAGUCCAACUUCUAUUGGAAAUGAAGCAUUAUUCAAAUUACUAGUUUGACAGUCGACUCAAUUUAACUUGAGCAUUUGCUUAUGAGCAGGUUUGUCCUAAUGCUGUUGAACCACUUUUCAAACAAAUGGUGAACAAAUUUAUAAAUGAUCAUGCACAGCUAGAGGUGUUAAUCCAUAAGUGCUAUCUUCUUUUCUUUCAUUUUCCCCUUCGCAAGUCCCUUGUCUAUAAGGGAAACUUGUUUACAAAUGCUUUUGAUAACGACCUAUUUAUAUAAAUUUGGUUCUGGUAUUUUUUGUAUUUCAGUCAAGGUUGCCAAUCUAAUGUUAUUAAUCAUGUGUAAUACCAUAUUCAGUCAUUUUUAUUUCUACUUGAUGCAUUAUGCAAGGCUUUCUAAAUUAUAAUUUUGUUUCCUGCAACUAGUUAAGGAAGUGAGAUUUGCUGCAAGAUCUUGCAUUAUAUAAGAAAUCACAUGCAAAAGCAGUGUCAAUAGCAGCCCAGUACCAAUUUGUGAAAACACUACUAGUCAAGCCAAUUAUGUAGGAUUAAAUAGUUUUAUAAGUUAUGAAUUAUCAAUGAUAUGAAGUUUCCUAAUUGAACACCAUAAAUCUGUACAUGGGUGACAUAACUUGUUCUAAAAAGUGGGCUUUAAGAUGGUAAUAGGCCUUGGGGAAUCAUUGUUCUUUUUUUGGUUGUUUGGGUUUUUAAGUCAGUAGCCAUGGUUAGACAUGGUUUGCAUUUUGGAAAUUGGUACAGUAACAAGCUAUCAUAUAAAACAUAUACACCAAUUAAGCUCUUCUUUUCUUUUAGUUUUAUAUUUAGACUACUGAUAACGUCAUAGUUACAUGUUGAUGAUGUUGGCUUUUCUGCGUGGCUUGUUGGUUUGGUUCUUGCUGCUUGCAGCUCUUCAAUAAAGUUUUAAUUCAACCAAAAAUAGUUCGAAGAUGAUUGUGUUCUUAAAAGCUGGUCCUCAUCAUCUCAUCUUUAUUAAUUCAUGAACCCGAUCGAGGAUGAAUGGCAUUUUCCAGGAUAAGGAAAAGAAGGGUAGCUGCAAAAUCUUGGCCAGAAAUAACAAGCAGGUUCUUGGCCCAGAAAUGUUGAAAUCAGAAUUGCAACAUGGUGGGUUAAAAUGUGGGGGUACUCUGCAAGAGCGUGCUGCCAGGCUUUUUAUGCUUAAAUCUACCCCAUAGAGAAGAUUCCAAAGAAGUUGCUGGCAAGGAAAUGAGUACGCGAUGUGCUUCAUUUAACCCUUUAUAAAGCAAGUUUCUCCUUCAAUAUAUGAAUAGUGGCUGAAUUGUGUAACUAUAUAUUUGAAUCUAUAAGGUUCCUAGUUGUUGACUAUGUACUAUUAUGUACCAUUAUCCUUGGCGGAUAAUGUUGGUGGCUGUACACUUUUUUGUUUUGACGUAUAAUGAAUGCAAUGCAGCCAUUAAAACA